rnacentral:rRNA from 1 species
AUUGAACGCUGGCGGCAUGCUUUACACAUGCAAGUCGAACGGUAACAGGCCGCAAGGUGCUGACGAGUGGCGAACGGGUGAGUAAUGCAUCGGAACGUGCCCAGUCGUGGGGGAUAACGCAGCGAAAGCUGCGCUAAUACCGCAUACGAUCUCUGGAUGAAAGCGGGGGGCCGAAAGGCCUCGCGCGAUUGGAGCGGCCGAUGUCAGAAUUAGGUAGUUGGGGGGGUAAAGGCCCACCAAGCCAACGAUCUGUAGCUGGUCUGAGAGGACGACCGGCCACACUGGGAGUGGGACACGGCCCAGAUGCCUACGGGAGGCAGCAGUGGGGAAUUUUGGACAAUGGGCGCAAGCCAGAUCCAGCAAUGCCGCGUGCAGGAAGAAGGCCUUCGGGUUGUAAACUGCUUUUGUACGGAACGAAACGGUCCGGGCUAAUACCCUGGGCUAAUGACGGUACCGUAAGAAUAAGCACCGGCUAACUACGUGCCAGCCGCCGCGGUAACAC